rnacentral:rRNA from 1 species
AGGACGAACGCUGGCGGCGUGCCUAACACAUGCAAGUCGAACGGAACGAAAAGAGCUUGCUCUUGGCGUUUAGUGGCGGACGGGUGAGUAACACGUGAGUAACCUGCCUUCAGAGGGGAAUAAUGUCUGGAAACGGACACUAAUACCGCAUAAAAUAUUUUAACCGCAUGAUUGAAAUAUCAAAGGAGCAAUCCGCUGAAAGAUGGACUCGCGUCUGAUUAGCCAGUUGGCGGGUAACGGCCCACCAAAGCGACGAUCAGUAGCCGGACUGAGAGGUUGAACGGCCACAUUGGGACUGAGACACGGCCCAGACUCCUACGGGAGGCAGCAGUGGGGGAUAUUGCACAAUGGGCGCAAGCCUGAUGCAGCAAACCGCCGCGUGCAGGAAGACGGUCUUCGGAUUGUAAACUGUUGUCCUCUGUGACGAUAAUGACGGUAGCAGAGGAGGAAGCCACGGCUAACUACGUGCCAGCAGCUGC